UAGGGUCAAGGAUAUUUAAAUAAUUUUCAUUCUCAAAAUUAAAAAAAAAAAAGAAACUCCCAAACCCUUACUCACCCCUCAUUCCUCUGAACCUUUUCUCUUUCAUCUCUCUCACUCUACUCCAACAUUUUACUCUGUCAUCUGUUGCCCCAAUUGAAAAAAAAAAAUCAGAAACCCUUACCUAACCCUAAUUCACCUUCUUCAUUUAUCCAAUUUGUUUCUCUCUCGUCUCCAUACUCUCCCUCAGCCACACAUAACAACCCGCGACAUCGUAAUUUGUUGCUUUUGCUCUGUUCAUUCAUUUGGAGGAUGUGUUAUAUAUAUUCCCUUCUUAUGAUUAUUAAAUUUCAUUUUUAAAUUAAAUUAUGUAAAUAAAACCUUCAUAAAUCAACUAAAUUUUCAUACAUCAUUUACACAUCUACACCACAUUUCAUUAUAUUUUUAAAGAACAAGAUAUUUCCCUCUAUUGUCAUUUUCCCUUUACACAAAGUGUUUCUUUUUCCUUUCUCUUUUGGUAUGGUAUACAUGAUGUAAGAUUACAACCUAUAAUUGAAAGAAUUGUACUCCUAGGGAGCUCUUCUAUACCUAUUUCUUUAAUUUCCUUAUGUCCCUUUUUUAUCACUGAAUCAAC
rnacentral:lncRNA from 1 species